rnacentral:rRNA from 1 species
UACGUAGGAUGCAAGCGUUGUCCGGAAUUAUUGGGCGUAAAGAGCUCGUAGGCGGUUUGUUGCGUCGGCUGUGAAAUCCCGAGGCUCAACCUCGGGUCUGCAGUCGAUACGAGCAAACUAGAGUGUUGCAGGGGGAGACUGGAAUUCCUGGUGUAGCGGUGAAAUGCGCAGAUAUCAGGAGGAACACCGGUGGCGAAGGCGGGUCUCUGGGCAACAACUGACGCUGAGGAGCGAAAGCGUGGGGAGCGAACAGG